rnacentral:lncRNA from 1 species
AGGGGGUGCAUUGGGGGAUUUGUUUCAUUCAGAUCUCCCACUCUUAUCUCUUCUUUCUUACACACUCUCUCUAUUGUCUAAUUAGUCUCUUUCUUCUUUUGUUAGGAUAAGUUUAAAAAUAAUAAGGACAAGUCCAAUUUUAGGACAAGAGCCUAGGAAGAGAAUUAAGGAAGACAUGGAGAAAAGAAAGGUAGGGAUAGGAAGGC